CAUCGCUUCAGGGCGGGGUGUAAUUCCCCACCGGUGGUCAUUCAAUGUUCAUCUGCAUCAUGCACUUUCAUGCUGCACAAACAAUGAUCAGCCCACGAGCGACCUAAGCACUGUUCAAAUGAUGCGUAUAUGUGGUACAUGCACUAAUGAUUUGCACAGACACGAAGGUUGCAGAUUUGGUGAAACUCCAAAGCCGACGGUUAAAGUCCGGAUGAAAGAAGACGACG
rnacentral:ncRNA from 1 species